CACACGCAAUCAAGAAAUCAAACAAGUAUAUCUCGGCUUAAAACUAAGUCAUCGGCCGGCAAGGCCCCUGUCAACUGAUCUAUAAAAGAAACAGCUACUCCCAGGAGAUCAUAUAAAUAAAUAGACAAGUAGUACAGAAGUCCUGAUUGGGCCGUCGAGGCCACCAUGAUAUCUAUACCAAAAUUAAAAGCAAGUAUAUAUCAAUACAAUACAUCAAACAGCUCACAAGCUUCCGCAAACCAACAACAUAGGCCAGCAUGGCCAUAACGUAGCUAUAAACCCCACACACUAGUCUGCAAGCCUCUAAGAGUAGUAAAGAUUGGUGGGACAGGGCCCCAGCCUACCCAUAAAGNNN
rnacentral:lncRNA from 1 species